rnacentral:rRNA from 1 species
UACGAGGGGGGCAAGCGUUUGUUCGGAAUUAUUGGGCGUAAAGGGCGCGUAGGCGGUCUGAUAAGUCUUGUGUGGAAUCUCUGGGCUCAACCCAGAGUCUGCAUAGGAAACUGUCGGGCUUGAGUAUGGGGAGAGGUGCGUGGAAUUUCCGGUGUAGCGGUGAAAUGCGUAGAUAUCGGAAGGAACACCUGUGGCGAAAAGCGGCGCACUGGACCAAAAACUGACG